rnacentral:rRNA from 1 species
UACGGGGGGAGCAAGCGUUGUUCGGAUUUACUGGGCGUAAAGGGCGCGUAGGCGGCGCGACAAGUCACUUGUGAAAUCUCUGGGCUCAACCCAGAACGGUCAAGUGAUACUGUCGUGCUAGAGUGCGGAAGGGGCAACUGGAAUUCUUGGUGUAGCGGUGAAAUGCGUAGAGAUCAGGAAGAACAUCGGUGGCGAAGGCGCUCUGCUGGACCAUAACUGACACUCAGGGACGAAAGCUAGGGGAGCGAAUGGG